ACCCGCUGAAUUUAAGCAUAUCAAUAAGCGGAGGAAAAGAAACCAACAGGGGUUGCCUUAGUAACGGCGAGUGAAGCGGCAAAAGCUCAAAUUUGAAAUCGGCCACCAGGUCGAGUUGUAAUUUGUAGAUUGUAUCUUGAGAGCGGAUUAAAGUCUGUUGGAACACAGCGCCUUAGAGGGUGACAGCCCCGUAAAAUCUAUUCUCAUUGUAAGAUACUUUCGAAGAGUCGAGUUGUUUGGGAAUGCAGCUCUAAGUGGGAGGUAAAUUCCUUCUAAAGCUAAAUAUUGACGAGAGACCGAUAGCGAACAAGUACUGUGAAGGAAAGAUGAAAAGCACUUUGAAAAGAGAGUGAAAAAGUACGUGAAAUUGUUAAAAGGGAAGGGUAUUGAAUCAGACUUGGUGCUGUUGUUCAACUGUGUUUCGGCAUAGUGUACUCAGCAGUACUAGGCCAAGGUGGGGUGUUUGGGAGUGAAAAAGAAGUAGGAACGUAACUCUUCGGAGUGUUAUAGCCUACUUUCAUAGCUCCUCAGGCGCCUCAGGACUGCGCUUCGGCAAGGACCUUGGCAUAAUGAUUCUAUACCGCCCGUCUUGAAACACGGACCAAGGAG
rnacentral:rRNA from 1 species